UAGGAGAGCGUUCUAAGGGCGUUGAAGCAUGAUCGUAAGGACAUGUGGAGCGCUUAGAAGUGAGAAUGCCGGUGUGAGUAGCGAAAGACGGGUGAGAAUCCCGUCCACCGAUUGACUAAGGUUUCCAGAGGAAGGCUCGUCCGCUCUGGGUUAGUCGGGUCCUAAGCUGAGGCCGACAGGCGUAGGCGAUGGAUAACAGGUUGAUAUUCCUGUACCACCUAUAAUCGUUUUAAUCGAUGGGGGGACGCAGUAGGAUAGGCGAAGCGUGCGAUUGGAUUGCACGUCUAAGCAGUAAGGCUGAGUAUUAGGCAAAUCCGGUACUCGUUAAGGCUGAGC
rnacentral:rRNA from 1 species